rnacentral:rRNA from 1 species
AUACGGAGGAUCCGAGCGUUAUCCGGAUUUAUUGGGUUUAAAGGGUGCGCAGGCGGCCAUUUAAGUCAGCGGUUAAAUCGUGGGGCUCAACCCCAUUCUGCCGUUGAUACUGGGUGGCUUGAUUGCGGUCGAGGUUGGCGGAAUUCGUUGUGUAGCGGUGAAAUGCAUAGAUAUGACGAAGAACACCGAUUGCGUAGGCAGCUGACCAGACCGCAAAUGACGCUCAUGCACGAAAGUGCGGGGAUCGAACAGGAUUAGAUACCCUGGUAGUCCGCACAGUAAACGAUGAAUUCUUGUUUUCGGCGAUAUAAUGUCGGAUGAAAAGCGAAAGCGAUAAGUAUUCCACCUGGGGAGUACGCCGGCAACGGUGAAACUCAAAGGAAUUGGCGGGG